CUAGUUUGAAAAUAUGUGGAAAGGAUAAGAAAUGCAGUCAUAACUUUUGCAUUUGAUACAAUUAAAUAUAUAUGUGUCUUAAUUGAAAAUUUUAUACUUAAUUCACAAGUAUAUGAUGCAUAUACACAUACUUUUAAUAUGACAAAGUCUAUUUACAACUUGACUUGGCUGGCUACAUUAAAAACUGUUUUAACAUUUAAUUUUAGGAAUAGUAAACCUUUAUAACAACAUAUUUACUCCUUUGAAUAUACUGUACCUGACUGCUAAAUAUUCAAAAUUAAUCUUGG
rnacentral:lncRNA from 1 species